rnacentral:lncRNA from 1 species
GAGGUCCAAGUCUGAGAUUUUUUUUAAAAUUUAUUUAUUCAUUUAUUAUUAUUAUUAUUUUUUAUUUAUUUAUUUAUUUAAACUUUUUUUUUUCGUUUACCGUUUUUUUUUCUUUUUUUUUUAAAACACGUGGGCUUCGCCUAGCGAGCAUGACAACUCAUAAAUAAACCUUUGCCCCUUCAAGAUUAACGUUUUGACUGGCGAAUAGACCCCUGUUGGAAGUAACUCAAGUCUUUCCCUUGUGUUGACUGAUCAUCUAAAUAGAACCCACAAAGUGUCUUGGAUGAUGUUCAAGCUUCUUG